AGGCACUACGGUGCUGAAGUAACAAAUGCCCUGCUUCCAGGAAAAGCCUCUAAGCAUCAGGUAACACGAAAUCGUACCCCAAACCGACACAGGUGGUCAGGUAGAGAAUACCAAGGCGCUUGAGAGAACUCGGGUGAAGGAACUAGGCAAAAUGGUGCCGUAACUUCGGGAGAAGGCACGCUGACAUGUAGGUGAAGCCCCUGCGGGUGGAGCUGAAGUCAGUCGAAGAUACCAGCUGGCUGCAACUGUUUAUUAAAAACACAGCACUGUGCAAACACGAAAGUGGACGUAUACGGUGUGACGCCUGCCCGGUGCCGGAAGGUUAAUUGAUGGGGUUAUCGCAAGAGAAGCUCCUGAUCGAAGCCCCGGUAAACGGCGGCCGUAACUAUAACGGUCCUAAGGUAGCGAAAUUCCUUGUCGGGUAAGUUCCGACCUGCACGAAUGGCGUAAUGAUGGCCAGGCUGUCUCCACCCGAGACUCAGUGAAAUUGAACUCGCUGUGAAGAUGCAGUGUACCCGCGGCAAGACGGAAAGACCCCGUGAACCUUUACUACAGCUUGACACUGAACAUUGAGCCUUGAUGUGUAGGAUAGGUGGGAGGCUUUGAAGCGUGGACGCCAGUCUGCGUGGAGCCAACCUUGAAAUACCACCCUUUAAUGUUUGAUGUUCUAACCUGGCGCCAUAAUCUGGCGUGGGGACAGUGUCUGGUGGGUAGUUUGACUGGGGCGGUCUCCUCCCAAAGUGUAACGGAGGAGCACGAAGGUCAGCUAAUCCUGGUCGGACAUCAGGAGGUUAGUGCAAUGGCAUAAGCUGGCUUGACUGCGAGAGUGACGGCUCGAGCAGGUGCGAAAGCAGGUCAUAGUGAUCCGGUGGUUCUGUAUGGAAGGGCCAUCGCUCAACGGAUAAAAGGUACUCCGGGGAUAACAGGCUGAUACCGCCCAAGAGUUCAUAUCGACGGCGGUGUUUGGCACCUCGAUGUCGGCUCAUCACAUCCUGGGGCUGAAGUAGGUCCCAAGGGUAUGGCUGUUCGCCAUUUAAAGUGGUACGCGAGCUGGGUUUAGAACGUCGUGAGACAGUUCGGUCCCUAUCUGCCGUGGGCGCUGGAGAAUUGAGGGGGGCUGCUCCCAGUACGAGAGGACCGGAGUGGACGCAUCACUGGUGUUCGGGUUGUCAUGCCAAUGGCACUGCCCGGUAGCUAAAUGCGGAAGAGAUAAGUGCUGAAAGCAUCUAAGCACGAAACUUGCCCCGAGAUGAGUUCUCCCUGAGACUAUAAGUCUCCUGAAGGAACGUUGAAGACGACGACGUUGAUAGGCCGGGUGUGUAAGCGCAGCGAUGCGUUGAGCUAACCGGUACUAAUGAACCGUGAGGCUUAACCUUACAACGCCAAAGAAGU
rnacentral:rRNA from 1 species